rnacentral:rRNA from 1 species
AAUGAACGCUGGCGGCGUGCUUAACACAUGCAAGUCGCACGAGAAUUCUUCUGCUUGCAGAAGAUAGUAAAGUGGCGCACGGGUGAGUAACGCGUGGGUAAUCUACCUCCGAAUCGGGGAUAACAUUGCGAAAGCGGUGCUAAUACCGGAUGAAAUCAUGUGUUCCUUGGAACAGAUGACCAAAGGUGGCCUCUACAUGUAAGCUAUCGUUUGGAGAUGAGCCCGCGUACCAUUAGCUUGUUGGUAGGGUAAAAGCCUACCAAGGCGACGAUGGUUAGCUGGUCUGAGAGGAUGACCAGCCACACUGGAACUGAUACACGGUCCAGACUCCUACGGGAGGCAGCAGUGAGGAAUUUUGCGCAAUGGGGGCAACCCUGACGCAGCAACGCCGCGUGAGUGAUGAAGGCUUUCGGGUCGUAAAGCUCUGUCAAGUGGGAAGAACCUGUUUCGUGCCAAUACCACGGAACACUGACGGUACCACUGAAGGAAGCACCGGCUAACUCCGUGCCAGCAGCCGCGGUAAUACGGGGGGUGCAAGCGUUAUUCGGAAUCAUUGGGCGUAAAGGGCGCGUAGGCGGUCCUGUAAGUCAGAUGUGAAAUCCUUUCGCUUAACGGAAGAAGUGCAUUUGAAACUGCAGGACUUGAGUAUGGGAGAGGGAAGUGGAAUUCCUGGUGUAGAGGUGAAAUUCGUAGAUAUCAGGAGGAACACCCGUGGCGAAGGCGACUUCCUGGACCAAUACUGACGCUGAGGCGCGAAGGCGUGGGUAGCAAACAGGAUUAGAUACCCUGGUAGUCCACGCAGUAAACGUUGAUCACUAGGUGUAGCGGGUAUUUACCCCUGCUGUGCCGAAGCUAACGCAUUAAGUGAUCCGCCUGGGAAGUACGGUCGCAAGAUUAAAACUCAAAGGAAUUGACGGGGGCCCGCACAAGCGGUGGAGCAUGUGGUUUAAUUCGACGCAACGCGAAGAACCUUACCUGGAUUUGACAUCCCGGGAAUCCUGCUGAAAGGCAGGAGUGCCCUUCGGGGAGCCCGGUGACAGGUGCUGCAUGGCUGUCGUCAGCUCGUGUCGUGAGAU